rnacentral:rRNA from 1 species
UACGUAGGGCGCAAGCGUUAUCCGGAAUUAUUGGGCGUAAAGAGCUCGUAGGCGGUGUGUCGCGUCUGCUGUGAAAACUCAGGGCUCAACUCUGAGCUUGCAGUGGGUACGGGCACACUUGAGUGCUGUAGGGGAGACUGGAAUUCCUGGUGUAGCGGUGAAAUGCGCAGAUAUCAGGAGGAACACCGGUGGCGAAGGCGGGUCUCUGGGCAGUUGACUGACGCUGGAGGAGCGAAAGCAUGGGGAGCGAACAGG